CCCUUAGAUGUUCUGGGCUGCACACGUGCUACACUGGCAGGUUCAGCGAGCUUCAUGCCCUGAUCUGAAAGGAAUGGGAAAUCUUUUCAAAACCUGCCGUGCUUGGGAUAGAUGUUUGCAAUUAUUCAUCUUCAACGAGGAUUGCCUUGUAAGCGCGCGUCAUCAGCGUGCAUUGAAUACGUCCCUGUAUUCUGUACACACCGCCCGUCGCUCCUACCGAUUGAAGUUUUCGGUGAGUUGACAGGAGGAUUUUUUUGAAACUGGUUCGCCAGUGGAUUUUAGAUCCAAAUGCCAACGAAUCGAUGGCUUUAGAGGAAGGAGAAGUCGUAACA
rnacentral:rRNA from 1 species